GAAUUUUCCUCUUUUUUCAAACUUGAGAAGCAAAAGUGCCAUAACAAUGGUGAAACGAUUCAGAGGAAGAAUGUCAGCUUUUGACAAGUCAACUUUUAUCUCACUUGAAGUGACUGGAAGAAAUCAGCAGAUGAAAGGAAAAUUGAUGAUUGAUGAGGCCUUCGGCACAAAAAGUCGUAUCUAGGUGACACAGAAGACUGAAGAGGUAUACAGAAGGAGAAAUGUUUCUCCCCCAGACUUAUGGAAAUGGAAGUGAACAGCUGUUCAACUGUCAAGUCACCAGCUAAAUUCAAGUCUGAGAAAAGAAGACAAUCUGUUUAAAUGAAACUGUGUGUGAAUGAAGGCCAGGGUUUUUGGCACUUGUAUUUGGAAAAAAAAAAGAAAGAAAAAAUAUAAAACAAUUGUUACUAAAAUAAAUAAUCUUUUUCUAGGAUGACCUUUGUUUGUUUAAACUGUUGGAAAAUCAAUAUUUAAAAUGAAAUCUAGAAACUGAAGUGUGCCCUCUGCAGGGUCACCAGAGUGAUGGGAAAAUUGAACACAAUCAACUCAUGAACUCCCCAAGCAAUGUCUCUUUACCUGUGCCUUGUGAUCAAGAGGGUUUGCUGAACCUUCCUCUGCAGCUUAAGACAUUUGCUUCAUCGGAGAAAAGGGUUUGGAGAAAUGCAUCGUGUCUUUUGCCCAUAUCCUUUGAAUUACUAACCAACUUUUUAGUCCCAAUCAGCAGCAAGUGUGGGCUCAUUGGUUUCCCGCCCUGCCGUCAUUCCUUCUCCUUAGCACCUGGUAGAGGCUGUGGAAAAGAGGUUGUAAAUGACUGCAGAUUCCUUUUAGUUUCAGGUGCUCCCAGAAAUUUUGGAUUUCCAUGUUAUCCUACUUUGACUUGGAAGGUGAUGUUUUAUCUCAUCAAUUUACAUGAUUUUAUGCAGCUAGAUUGGUGUCUCUUCCUAACAUGCUCUGCUAGGGGAGACCACUCUUUGUUUCUUGCUUUCUAG
rnacentral:lncRNA from 1 species